rnacentral:rRNA from 1 species
GACGGAGGGUGCAAGCGUAAUUCGGAUUUACUGGGCGUAAAGCGCGCGCGGGCGGUAUUGUAAGUCGGAUGUGAAAGCCCUGGGCUUAAGCCAGGAAGUGCAUUCGAUACUGCAUUACUUGAGUAUGGGAGAGGGAGGUGGAAUUCCUGGUGUAGUGGUGAAAGUCGUAGAUAACAGGGGGAACAGCGGUGGCGAAGGCGGCUUCCUGGACCAAUACUGCCGCUGAGUCGCGAAGGCGUGGGGAGCAAACAGG